rnacentral:ncRNA from 1 species
GAGCUGCUAUAAAGCAGCUUCUUUUUAUGCAAAAAAAACAGGCGCUCUACGAAAGAGCGCCGAAUGGGAGAGGAGAAACCGGACGAAGAGCUUAUGGGGAAACGUAAGUCUUCUCCGCG